UACGUAGGGUGCGAGCGUUGUCCGGAAUUAUUGGGCGUAAAGGGCUCGUAGGCGGUUUGUCGCGUCGGGAGUGAAAACGCCGGGCUUAACUCGGUGCUUGCUUUCGAUACGGGCAGACUAGAGGCAUGCAGGGGAGAACGGAAUUCCUGGUGUAGCGGUGAAAUGCGCAGAUAUCAGGAGGAACACCGGUGGCGAAGGCGGGUCUCUGGGCCGUAACUGACGCUGAGGAGCGAAAGCGUGGGGAGCGAACAGG
rnacentral:rRNA from 1 species